rnacentral:rRNA from 1 species
GACGAACCGUGCGAACGUUGUUCGGAAUCACUGGGCUUAAAGGGCGCGUAGGCGGGCUGUCAAGUCUGGGGUGAAAUGCCGCGGCUCAACCGUGGAACUGCCUUAGAUACUGACGGCCUCGAGGAAGGUAGGGGCAUGCGGAACUGUAGGUGGAGCGGUGAAAUGCGUUGAUAUCUACAGGAACGCCGGUGGCGAAAGCGGCGUGCUGGACCUUUUCUGACGCUGAGGCGCGAAAGCUAGGGGAGCAAACGGG